UCAGCAGCUCCAUUUAGUGACGAGUGAACAGUAAAAGAUUUGAGGAGUAAAAACACAAAUGAUGGAGGGAAAGAGUUCAGACUCACCAGAACCCAGCUGUGUGUCCAUGAAGAGUGACCAGUCAAUGGGACUUCCAUUUAACUUCAGAGACAGAGACAGUUCUACUGAUGAGAGACCACAAAAAUCAAACAUCAGGAGAAAUCAGCUGGACUCUAUAUUCAAGG